UUGUGGUCAUUUUUCCUUACACCUCUCAUGUAACAUUCACUCCUUAUGCUUUUCUCUCCAAUCUUGAGGUAUUUCUAGUACAUAUGGGGUUUCUAAAAAUCAUUAUGAUGCAUUUUUUCGCACAAGUGUUCAGAAUUAGAUACUUGUAAACCUAGAACGAGAGAUAGUAAGUCUUUCUCAUAACCACACCGCCAAUCUCUAGAAUUCAAAUCUCAAAGUCAUUACUAGGCACAUCUUACUUUUGAUAAUUUAUAUCUCAAUUUUUCUUCUUC
rnacentral:lncRNA from 1 species